CUCCUGAAUCGCGCAGGGGCAGAUGGGCAGGGCUGCGCGUAAAUCCGCCUACCUUCUUCCGGGCGCUGGCUCCACCCCAGCCCUAACUCCUCCCGCUUCCGGUUUUAUGCUUGGAUGACUGGAUGUUACGUCAGCAUCCUCAUGACAGCUGUUGCGGUGGGCAAAACUUGGUACUUUGAGGUAAACUGUCUAAGAUGUAGACAGCAUUGCUGAGCCUCCUCAACAGUCUCCCCACACCAGGGACAACAUUUUUAAAGGAACGGCUCUCAGAAUUGUUGGGUAGACGGAGUCCAGAAAAGAGCUCAAGGCAAUCACAGAAUUCUAUUCUAAUACAUGGCACUUUGACAUGAGGAUUGGUUUGAUCUGAAAGCGUUUAAAAUCAACAGAGGCAGAGGACUUCUUCCCAGAGCUUCUCUUAUAUGACUAGAAGGAGACACUUUUGAGCAAUGAAGACUAAAAAAGAGAAGACUGCUAUAAAUACCCUUUCCUGGAGAAGCUUUGUGGCCAGGGAGGAAGUGGAUAGUCAGAAAUUGAGCCACAGUAACCAGCCAAACAACUAUGUGACAAGAUUCUGUUUGUUUUCUCUACAUACUUACCUUCUGAUAAUUUCAUCCCUCAAAUCCUAAAGAUAUCUCUCAUCCUUCACCUUUGUACAAACUGAGUGUUCUUUGUCAAGAUGUUAUAAAAAACAAUUUCUAAUCACCCCUGAGAGCGUGCCAUAUGUGUUUUCACAUGUGUAUGCCUACUCCAGGUGUUAAUAAACUCUUUCCCUCUUGAUCAGUCUAAUACAUAGGUCCCUUUGAUCAGUCUAAUACAUAGGUCCUCAGCCUAAGAAAUUAAAGGAAGAAAGGUUUUAUCACCUCUCUAUUUCUAAUGCUUUGUUAAUUAUACUCGAAAUAUAUUGUAAAUGGGCUACUCUUACUCUUCGACCAAAGAUUCUUGCUCAGUUCAUCCAGGAAAUCGCUGAAAAUUCCCCAGGUAUCACUUCCUUCAAGCUGUGUGAAACUCCAGUAUCAGAGUCAUUCUUAGCUUGGAAAUGGUCUCUGGAAGGCUCUCAUAAAAUGACUGUUAGCCCAGGAAGAACCAAAGAUGAAUUCAUAAAUCUGCACAGAGCACGGCAUUGUUUUUACUUUGGGUGUCUGUCUCCUAGAGGAAGGCAGGACUCUGGGAGAAUAAUCAGUGACUGUCUUUAUGUGGAUGCUGAAGGAAAGAAGCAAACUUCAGAUGAAAUGUGCCUGGGGAAGGUGUCGGGAAUCCAAGGCUGGCAUAAAAGCACCAGGGGCCUGAGAGGUUUUAGCACCUUAAUAUGAAAUGACAACCUAAUGGAGGCAGCAGUAAUCAGACAGACCAGACUUCAAAGCUCCACUCACUUGCUGUGGUCAGAAGCAAGCCAUUCAGGUUUUUGAGCCUCGAUUUAUUCCUUUGUGACAUGGAAUGAGUUAAAGCUCCCUCGGCAUGGUUGGUGGGUUGUGGGGAGCUUGCACGGUGGACAGUCCUCUGGAGGUAGUGGCUCUUACUAGUGUAGUCAGUCCCAUCAGUCGUGAUUGCUACCAAUGGCAGACAUUCUUCAUGGGUUUUGCUGUUGUUGUUGUUCUGGUUUUGGUUUUUCGAAACAGGGUUUCUUUGUGUAACAGCUCUAACUGUCCUGGAACUCACUCUGUAGACCAGGCUGGUCUCUGCCUCUCAAGUUAUGGGAAUAAAGACAUGCUCCACCAGCGCUGCUGGGCUCCAUGACUUUUUUUAUGGAAACUUAAGAACUGAUUGUUUUGGAAUUAUCUUGAAGCUGGACUUAAUGGAAGAGCUUUACCAGGGAUUAUGCUUUUUCUAGCAAAGAUAUUUCUUGAAAGUCUGGAGUGGGAGUAAAUCAACAAAUGUGAUAGCCAUUCUAUUCUCUACACAGACAAAUAUGGAGCUAAAAUGAAUUUAAAGACCAACUAAAACAGAAGACAAAAUUUAUUGACACCUGAAGAGAAAGGGACAUAAAGAAGGGGUAGAAUUUAGACACUAUCCUUGAUGCUAUGCAUUACUAUCAUGAAAUAUCCAAUACAGGUUAUGAUUUAGAUCCCAGGUCUUUUUUGGGGGUGCUCAAAGUUUAAGCAUCCUAACAAAGUUUCAUGACAGGGUCUUCCGUUUGGCAACAUGACUGUGGGCAAAAACAGGUAUAUCUGGGACUGACAACAGAGAGACCCCAGAAGGGGCUGGGGUGGAUCCUUUCAUAACAACCCUCUUGCAAGAACUAGCAAGAGUUAGGCUGGGAAAUAUCAAAGGGUUGAGUGAGGCAUACCCAGGCCCCAGUGACUAAGACCCUGGAUGGUACACUUGAGGGUGCCUAGUGGGACCCUGACCUCUUCCUCCUCUGUAUUCCUGGCUUCCAUAAGGUGAGGAUGCCCUGCCUCACUCACCACAUCCCCCAAAGUAAUAGGCUUGUUAAUGGAGCUUAAGAGUUGAAUGGCUCCCUGCUCAACCAGAUUGAAGCUGGUGGAAGGAAAUAGAUUUAUUAAGGGCUGCCUUGGAGAAAACAGGAGAGACUUUUUCAUCAAAACUGCCACCUCCGGGGCUUUCAGUGUGGAAAGAGCCAUGCUAGGAGGGACCAAUUAAACAGAGAGGUGGCAAGGAAGAAAUCGGUGUGCUGGGCAAGGAGAUGCUCCUCAUUCAGAGGGAUGUGCUCUCUCUUCCCUAGCAGGCACACUGCAAUGGAUUUGGCCUCCUGUGGCUAGUUAACUAAAACCUAGGAAGACUUUCUUUCUUAGUACAAAUGAUUAGGGAGAGGCCAAGGUAAAAAAUGAGGAGGGGUGUCAAGGGACAGCUUCAAUUGAACUCUUACAAGCCAGACAGUAUUAGAUGACACCUCUGAAACCUCAGGCCAAAAUAAGCCUUCCCUUCUGGGUUGAUCUGGGGUACCUUGUCAAGGGGAUGGACUGCCGACUAACAGAACCAGCAAACAAUUAGAGGUUCUUCAGUGACUGGGAAAGAACUCCACCUGAAACUGAUGGGCGGUGCAGGAGACAGACUGAUAUUAAGAAACCCCAGACUUCUCUCUUUCCCUCUCAAACCUCUAAUCGACAAUAUUAACACAGCAGCUGCAUUUCCAAUGACCAGAGUGCAGACUAAUAUAAGCAAUUGCGCCUCGUGUAUAACCUUUUUAUUUUGACAUCAGGUCUCAUUAUAUAAACCAGGGUGGGCUGGAGCUGCUACUAGAUGCAACAGUUGUAAAACUGUAUUACUCAGCACAAGGAGCUUCAUAAUUAAAAGUGUUACACUGACUGGUAAAGGGACAGAGAUGUCUGGCACACUCAUAAGAUUCUAUUUCUCAUUCUGGAUGCUGGUUACACAAGUAUUUCCAGUUAAUAAAAGUUAAUAGCUA